rnacentral:rRNA from 1 species
GGAACUCGGCAAAUUACCUCCGUAACUUCGGAAGAAGGAGGACCUGCUUUGGUGACGAGAUUUACUCUCCGAGCUGAGGUGGGUGGCACAGACCAGGGGGUAGCGACUGUUUACCAAAAACACAGCAGGGUGCGAAGCCGUAAGGCGAUGUAUACCCUGUGACGCCUGCCCAAUGCUUGAAGGUCACGGGGAACGGUUAGCUCUUUGGAGCGAAGCUGUGAACCUAAGCCCAAGUGAAUGGCGGCCGUAACUAUAACGGUCCU